rnacentral:misc_RNA from 1 species
GCAAUUUCUAUUUGCAUGAAUAUCCAAGGGUGGACAGUUAUGGUAGCCAUUGGAUUCAAUGCCGCAAUAAGCGUAAGGGUGUCAAAUGAACUCGGUGCAGGGCAUCCAAGAAGCGCAAAAUUCUCAGUAAUGGUAGCUUCCAUCACAUCUUUAUUAUCCGGCAUCUUUCUCUCGACGAUUCUACUUGUUUGUCGGAGUUGGUAUCCUCCAUUCUUUUCAAACAAUGAACAAGUACAACAACUUGUCUAUCACCUCACUCCUAUCUUAGCAACCACCAUUGUUAUUGGAUGUCU